UUAUACGACCGCAAAAAAAAAUUUUAUGGUCGUAUAUUGGUAUGACGUUGGCGUCGUCGUCGUCGUUGUCUGGCGUCGUCCGAAGACACAUUGGUUUUCGCACUCUAACUUUAGUUUAAGUGAAUGUAUCUCUAUGAAAUUUUACCACAAGGUUCAAUACCACAAAAGGAAGGUUGGGAUUGAUUUUGGGGAUGAUGGUCUCAACCAUUUAGGAAUUAGGGGCCCAAAACAAGCAUUUUCUAGUUCCAGGAUAAUAACUUGUGUAUAAGUAUUUCGAUUACUCUGAAAUUGUACCACAAUGUUUAAUACCACAAGUAGAAGGUUGGGAUACAUUUUAGGGGUUAUGGGGCCAACAGUUUAGGAAUUAAGGGCCAAAAAGGGCCAAAAACAAGCAUUUUUUCUAGUUUCCAGACAAUAACUUGUGUGUAAGUGUAUGGAUCUCUCGGACAUUGUACCACAAGGUUCCAUAUCACAAAGGGAAGGCUGUAAUUGAUUUUGGGGGUAAUUGCCUCAAAAUGUUAGGAAUUAGGGGCCAAAAAAGGGGCAAAAAACAAGCAUUUUUCUAGUUUCAUGACAAUAACUUGUGUGUAAGUAUUUGGAUAUUUCUGAAAUUGUACUACAAGGUUCCAUAUCACAAAGGGAAAGCUGGAAUUGAGUUUGGGGGUAAUUGCCCGAAACGUUUAGGAAUUGGGGGCCAAAAAGGGGCCAAAAAUAAGCAUUUUUCUAGUUUCCAGACAAUAACUUGUGUUCAAGUGUAUGGAUCUCUCUGAAAUUGUACUGCAAGGUACCAUACCACAAAGGGAAGGCUGAGAUUGAGUUUGGGGGUGAUGAAUCAUAAGGGGGUUCAAAAAAUUUGGGGGGGGGGAUUUUUUUUUUUUUUUUUUUUUUUCUUUUUUUUCUUUUUUUCCUUUUUUUUUUCUUUUAAAAUUUUCCAUUUUAAGUUGGUUAUUUCUGAUUUAUAUUUAAAAGCAAAUAAUAAUGAUAUGGUAGGAGAUACACACCAAACAGGAUGUGUAAAUUAUUAUAUAAUAAGUAUUGUGCAAUAGCAAGAAAUUUUCAAUUGCACAGUAUUGCACAAUAGCAAGAAAUCUUCAAUUGCACAGUAUUGCGCAAUAGCAAGAAAUCUUCAAUUGCACAGUAUUGCGCAAUAGCAAGAAAUAUCCAAUAGCACAAUAUUGCGCAAUAGCAAGAAAUUGUCAAUUGUACAGUAUUGCACAAUAGCAAGAAAUAAUCAAUUGCACAGUAUUGUGCAAAAGAAGAUACUUCGUAUAAAUUGCUUAUUUCUUGAUCAAUUUCAAUGGGGAUUUAUUCUUGAAUUCUUGGGGUUCUUUAAUAUGCUGAAUCUAACCGUGUAUUAAGUUUUUGGAUUUUGGGCCCCGUUUUUAAAUUGGUCCACAUUGAGGUCCAAAGGGUCCAAAAUUUAACUUUGUUUGAUUUCAUCAAAAAUUGAAUGAUUGGGGUUCUUUGAUAUGCCGAAUCUAACCGUGUAUUUAGAUUCUUAAUUUUUGGUUCUGUUUUCAAAUUGGUCUACAUAAAGGUCCAAAGGGUCCAAAAUUAAACUUUGUUUGAUUUCAACAAAAAUUGAAUAUAUGGGGUUCUUUGAUAUGCUGAAUCUAACCAUGUAUUUAGAUUUUUGAUUAUGGGCCCAGUUUUCAAGUUGGUCCAAAUCGGGGUCCAAAAUUAAACUUUGUUUGAUUUCAACAAAAAUUGAAUAUAUGGGGUUCUUUGAUAUGCUGAAUCUAACCAUGUAUUUAGAUUUUUGAUUAUGGGCCCAGUUUUCAAGUUGGUCCAAAUCGGGGUCCAAAAUUAAACUUUGUUUGAUUUCAACAAAAAUUGAAUAUAUGGGGGUUCUUUGAUAUGCUGAAACUUACCAUGUAUUUAGAUUUUUGAUUGUUGGGCCCCGUUAUCAACUUUGUCCACAUUGAGAUCAAAAGGGUCCAAAAUUAAACUUUGUUUGAUUUCAUCAAAAAUUGAAUAUAUGGGGUUCUUUGAUAUGCUGAAUCUAACCAUGUAUUUAGAUUUUUGAUUAUGGGCCCAGUUUUCUAGUUGGUCCAAAUCGGGGUCCAAAAUUAAACUUUGUUUGAUUUCAACAAAAAUUGAAUAUAUGGGGUUCUUUGAUAUGCUGAAUCUAACCAUGUAUUUAGAUUUUUGAUUAUGGGCCCAGUUUUCUAGUUGGUCCAAAUCGGGGUCCAAAAUUAAACUUUGUUUGAUUUCAACAAAAAUUGAAUAUAUGGGGUUCUGUAAUAUGCUGAAUCUAACCGUGUAUUUAGUUUUUGGAUUUUGGGCCCCCUUUUUAAAUUGGUCCACAUUGAAGUCCAAAGGGUCCAAAAUUUAACUUUGUUUGAUUUCAUCAAAAAUUGAAUUAUUGGGGUUCUUUGAUAUGCCGUUUCUAACCGUGUAUUUAGAUUCUUAAUUUUUGGUUCCGUUUUCAAAUUGGUCUACAUAAAGGUCCAAAGGGUCCAAAAUUAAACUAAGUUUGAUUUUAACAAAAAUUGAAUUUUUAGGGUUCUUUGAUAUGCUGAAUCUAAACAUGUAUUUAGAUUUUUGAUUAUGGGCCCAGUUUUCAAGUUGGUCCAAAUCGGGGUCCAAAAUUAAACUUUAUUUGAUUUCAACAAAAAUUGAAUAUAUGGGGUUCUUUGAUAUGCUGAAUCUAACCAUGUAUUUAGAUUUUUGAAUUCUUGGGGUUCUUUGAUAUGCUGAAUCUAACCAUGUAUUUAGAUUUUGGAUAUUGGACCAUAAUAGGUGAAUGUCCAAUUUAAAAUUUUUAAGUUCUUAGACCACAUUCAUUCUGUGUCAGAAACCUAUGCUGUGUCAAAUAUUUAAUCACAAUCCAAAUUCAGAGCUGUAUCAAGCUUGAAUGUUGUGUCCAUACUUGCCCCAACUGUUCAGGGUUCGACCUCUGCGGUCGUAUAAAGCUGCGCCCUGCGGAGCAUUUUAUUAG